UGAAAUUGUGUUUCACUAAGAAUUUUAUAUCCAACCAUCAAUAUAGUAUGAAGGUAGAAUAAAGACAUUUUCAGAGAUUCAAGGUCUCAAAACUUCACGCCUUAUGUACCCUUUCUGGGGAAAUUACUAUUUUCAAAAUAAGAGAGGCAACGGAGAAAGAAGACAAAGAGCCCAGGAAAUGGCAGAGCUAUGCUAGAGGAUGAAAGGAAGUCGUAGAGUGACAACCAUGCCUCAAAGCCUAGGGUGCAGCCAGUGCUGAUUAGAUCAGAGGACAGAGGCCCAGAUGGUGACUUUACCUGGGGUAGAAUUGGAGUUGGUGGCUCAAAAGGCCUGACACUUUUUAGUGCUACGUACAGAAAAAUUGUCUUCCAGAAGCUGUAAUCACUUAUACAGACACCAGCCUAUACGACAAACACACAGAGAGAGAAGCAGGCUCCAUGCAGAAAGCCCGACGUGGGACCCGAUCCUGAG